rnacentral:piRNA from 1 species
UGAACACAGUUAGGUAGUGAUGACGC